GACAAACGCUGGCGGCGUGCUUAACACAUGCAAGUCGAACGGAAAGGCCCCUUUGGGGGUACUCGAGUGGCGAACGGGUGAGUAACACGUGCGUAACCUGCCCUUGACUUCGGGAUAACUUCAGGAAACUGGGGCUAAUACCGGAUAGGAAUCCUUGCUGCAUGGUGGGGGUUGGAAAGCUUCGGCGGUUUUGGAUGGACUCGCGGCUUAUCAGCUUGUUGGUGGGGUAGUGGCUUACCAAGGCUUUGACGGGUAGCCGGCCUGAGAGGGCGACCGGCCACAUUGGGACUGAGAUACGGCCCAGACUCCUACGGGAGGCAGCAGUGGGGAAUAUUGCACAAUGGGCGGAAGCCUGAUGCAGCAACGCCGCGUGCGGGAUGACGGCCUUCGGGUUGUAAACCGCUUUCAGCAGGGGCGAAGCUUGUGGUGACGGUACCUGCAGAAGAAGCACCGGCUAACUACGUG
rnacentral:rRNA from 1 species